rnacentral:rRNA from 1 species
AGUGAACGCUGGCGGUAGGCCUAACACAUGCAAGUCGAACGGCAGCACAGUAAGAGCUUGCUCUUACGGGUGGCGAGUGGCGGACGGGUGAGGAAUACAUCGGAAUCUACUUUUUCGUGGGGGAUAACGUAGGGAAACUUACGCUAAUACCGCAUACGACCUACGGGUGAAAGCAGGGGAUCUUCGGACCUUGCGCGAUUGAAUGAGCCGAUGUCGGAUUAGCUAGUUGGCGGGGUAAAGGCCCACCAAGGCGACGAUCCGUAGCUGGUCUGAGAGGAUGAUCAGCCACACUGGAACUGAGACACGGUACAGACUCCUACGGGAGGCAGCGGUGGGGAAUAUUGGACAAUGGGCGCAAGCCUGAUCCAGACAUACCGCGUGGGUGAAGAAGGCCUUCGGGUUGUAAAGCCCUUUUGUUGGGAAAGAAAAGCAGCAGGUUAAUACCCCGCUGUUCUGACGGUACCCAAAGAAUAAGCACCGGCUAACUUCGUG